rnacentral:tRNA from 1 species
GGGUUGUAGCUCAGUGGUAGAGCGCUUGCCUUGCAUGCGUGGGGCACUGAGUUCGAUCCUCAGCACCCA